rnacentral:rRNA from 1 species
AUUGAACGCUGGCGGCAGGCUUAACACAUGCAAGUCGAACGAGUGGCGGACGGGUGAGUAAUGUAUGGGAAACUGCCUGAUGGAGGGGGAUAACUACUGGAAACGGUAGCUAAUACCGCAUACCAUCGGAUGUGCCCAUAUGGGAUUAGCUAGUUGGUGGGGUAAAGGCUCACCAAGGCGACGAGCCCUAGCUGGUCUGAGAGGACGACCAGCCACACUGGGACUGAGACACGGCCCAGACUCCUACGGGAGGCAGCAGUGGGGAAUAUUGCACAAUGGGGGCAACCCUGAUCCAGCCAUGCCGCGUGUAUGAAGAAGGCCUUCGGGUUGUAAAGUACUUUCGGCAGGGAGGCGUUACCCGCAGAAGAAGCACCGGCUAACUCCGUGCCAGCAGCCGCGGUAAUUC